rnacentral:rRNA from 1 species
CGCGGCCUAUCAGCUUGUUGGUGAGGUAACGGCUCACCAAGGCAACGACGGGUAGCUGGUCUGAGAGGAUGGCCAGUCACACGGGGACUGAGAUACGGCCCCGACUCCUACGGGAGGCAGCAGUGGGGAAUAUUGGGCAAUGGGGGAAACCCUGACCCAGCGACGUCGCGUGGGUGAUGAAGGCCUUCGGGUCGUAAAGCCCUGUCAGGCGGGAAGAACCCUCUAGAGUCGAAUAAGCUCUAGAGCCGACGGUACCGCCAAAGGAAGCACCGGCCAACUCCGUGCCAGCAGCCGCGGUAAGACGGAGGGUGCGAGCGUUAUUCGGAAUUACUGGGCGUAAAGGGUGUGUAGGCGGCUCCAUAAGUCUGGUGUGAAAGCCCAGGGCUCAGCCUUGGAAGGGCACUAGAGACUGUGGAGCUAGAGUACCGGAGAGGAGGGUGGAAUUUCCGGUGUAGCGGCGAUAUGCGUAGAUAUCGGGAGGAACACCAGUGGCGAAGGCGCCCCUCGGGACGGUCACUGACGCUGAGGCACGAAAGCGUGGGGAGCAAACAGGAUUAGAUACCCUGGUAGUCCACGCCGUAAACGAUGGGCACUAGGUGUCGGGGGUAACCACUCCCUCGGUGCCGCCGCUAACGCAUUAAGUGCCCCGCCUGGGGAGUACGG